GCCAUCAAUGGGGACCAGCACCCACUGGAGCACCCUGCCAUGGAGCUCUUCCCGGACCGUGACGCCCGCGCCAGCCCUGUCUCCCUCCCUGUGGACUGCCCCUACCCCAGGAGGGAUGUGUCUUCUGGGACCAGCCAGCCCACCUGGGUGCCCUUGGUCUCCACUGUGUCCAAG